rnacentral:misc_RNA from 1 species
GUGAAUCAUCGAAUUUUUGAACGCAAAUUGCGCUUCCUGGUAUCCCGGGAAGUAUGCCUGUUUGAGAGUCAGUAUUAACAAAAACGCGGUUUGGUUGCAACUGGUGUUGUUUCCGGGGUUUGGUCUUUUCUUAACUUUGUUGGUUAAGUGGCUUAAAAUUUACCUUUUUUGCGCAUUUUUAGAUUUACAUAUAUUUUUUUUAUUCGUCUAUUCUUAAUGCCAAAAUCUUAUUAGAUGCGAUCACAUCGUGUGGCUUCGUGGCCAUAAAAUUUUCAUGAUUUGACCUCAAAUCAGUUAGUAG